UGGGUACAAAUCUGUUCCUCCAUUGAUUCUUCUCUCUUGAUUUUCUCCAUAAUUCGAGGGUUGUCAGUAUCGUAUUUCUCGAUUGUAGAAUUUGAUAUGGAUUUCUCCGUCAUUUGAGGGUCAUUAGUGGCAUAUUUCUCAAACGUAGGAAUAUUUGGAUUUGAUCUCCAUGAAAGGAGGUUUUCUCUAUAAUUCGAGGGUUGUUAGUAGCGUAUUUCUCGAACGUAAGAUUUGAUAUGGAUUUCUCUGUAAUUCGAGGGUCGUUAGUGGCGUAUUUCUCGAACGUAGGAAUAUUUAGAUUUGAUCUCUGUGAAAGGAGGUUUUGUUGAUCUUCUUGAUGUAUUUGAUUAUCAAGAAGAAAGGGUUUUGAUCUAUAAAUAUCUCAUUAAUUUAUUGGGACUUUGAAGAUCUCUUUAUAAAUAUCCCAUGAAUUUAUUGUGAUUUUUGAAGAUCGUUGAUUUCUUUGUGAAUUUGUG
rnacentral:lncRNA from 1 species